rnacentral:rRNA from 1 species
GACGAACGCUGGCGGCGUGCUUAACACAUGCAAGUCGAACGGAAAGGCCCUGCUUUUGUGGGGUGCUCGAGUGGCGAACGGGUGAGUAACACGUGAGUAACCUGCCCAUGACUUUGGGAUAACUUCAGGAAAAUGGGGCUAAUACCGGAUAGGAGCUCCUGCUGCAUGGUGGGGGUUGGAAAGUUUCGGCGGUUGGGGAUGGACUCGCGGCUUAUCAGCUUGUUGGUGGGGUAGUGGCUUACCAAGGCUUUGACGGGUAGCCGGCCUGAGAGGGUGACCGGCCACAUUGGGACUGAGAUACGGCCCAGACUCCUACGGGACGCAGCAGUGGGGAGUAUUGCACAAUGGGCGGAAGCCUGAUGCAGCAACGCCGCGUGCGGGAUGACGGCCUUCGGGUUGUAAACCGCUUUCGCCUGUGACGAAGCGUGAGUGACGGUAAUGGGUAAAGAAGCACCGGCUAACUACGUG